GGGUUGUGAGGUUAAGCGACUAAGCGUACACGGUGGAUGCCCUGGCAGUCAGAGGCGAUGAAGGGCGUGCUAAUCUGCGAUAAGCGCCGGUAAGGUGAUAUGAACCGUUAUAACCGGCGAUACCCGAAUGGGGAAACCCAGUGUGAUUCGUCACACUAUCAUUAACUGAAUCCAUAGGUUAAUGAGGCGAACCGGGGGAACUGAAACAUCUAAGUACCCCGAGGAAAAGAAAUCAACCGAGAUUCCCCCAGUAGCGGCGAGCGAACGGGGAGGAGCCCAGAGCCUGAAUCAGCAUGUGUGUUAGUGGAAGCGUCUGGAAAGGCGCGCGAUACAGGGUGACAGCCCCGUACACAAAAGCGCAUGUGCUGUGAGCUCGAUGAGUAGGGCGGGACACGUGGUAUCCUGUCUGAAUAUGGGGGGACCAUCCUCCAAGGCUAAAUACUCCUGACUGACCGAUAGUGAACCAGUACCGUGAGGGAAAGGCGAAAAGAACCCCGGCGAGGGGAGUGAAAAAGAACCUGAAACCGUGUACGUACAAGCAGUGGGAGCACCCUUCGGGGUGUGACUGCGUACCUUUUGUAUAAUGGGUCAGCGACUUAUAUUCUGUAGCA
rnacentral:rRNA from 1 species